CCUACCCAUAAAGGCUUUGCAAGUGUGGCUGCUGUGUUGGAUCAUGUCUCACGUCUAUCACAUGAGUCGGUAUGUGGCAGAGUGGAGAAAGGCUAUGUCUACCCUCAGUGUUCUGACCUGUAAACAUCUGAAUGUUUAGCAGCCUAACCUU
ensembl:snoRNA LOC120101312 small nucleolar RNA SNORA17